CCUUAACCAAAGAAGCAGCCAGCUUGCUGGAAGCGGAAAAGGGAAAGGCUUAGUGGCGGACGGGUGAGUAACGCGUGGGUAACCUGGCCCAUACAGGGGGAUAACACUUAGAAAUAGGUGCUAAUACCGCAUAACAACAGAAAGCGCAUGCUUUUUGUUUGAAAACCAAGGUGGUAUGGGAUGGACCCGCGUCUGAUUAGCUGGUUGGCGGGGUAAAGGCCCACCAAGGCGACGAUCAGUAGCCGGCCUGAGAGGGUGGACGGCCACAUUGGGACUGAGACACGGCCCAAACUCCUGCGGGAGGCAGCAGUGGGGAAUAUUGCACAAUGGGGGAAACCCUGAUGCAGCGACGCCGCGUGAGUGAAGAAGUAAUUCGUUAUGUAAAGCUCUAUCAGCAGGGAAGAAAAUGACGGUACCUGAGUAAGAAGCCCCGGCUAACUACGUGCCAGCAGCCGCGGUAAUACGUAGGGGGCAAGCGUUAUCCGGAUUUACUGGGUGUAAAGGGAGCGUAGACGGCAGUGCAAGUCUGGAGUGAAAGGCGGGGGCUCAACCCCCGGACUGCUCUGGAAACUGUACGGCUGGAGUGCAGGAGAGGUAAGUGGAAUUCCUAGUGUAGCGGUGAAAUGCGUAGAUAUUAGGAGGAACACCAGUGGCGAAGGCGGCUUACUGGACUGUAACUGACGUUGAGGCUCGAAAGCGUGGGGAGCAAACA
rnacentral:rRNA from 1 species